GACAGAGGGUGCAAACGUUGUUCGGAAUUAUUGGGCGUAAAGCGCUUGUAGGCGGCGUGAAAAGUCUCGUGUGAAAGCUCCAGGCUCAACCUGGAAAGUGCGCGAGAAACUGACAUGCUUGAGUGUCGGAGAGGGUGGCGGAAUUCCCGGUGUAGAGGUGAAAUGCGUAGAUAUCAAGAGGAACACCUGAGGUGAAGACGGGUUGCUGGGCCGACACUGACGCUGAGUGCGCGAAAGCCAGGGGAGCAAACGGG
rnacentral:rRNA from 1 species